GUCGCUUAACCAACUGAGCCACCCAGGCGCCCCUGUUCUUAUCAGUUUAAUAUCUGAUAUGAGUCCUCUGUCUGAGGACAACAUGUUAAAUGGAUUUUUGGAACUAGAAGAUGGAGUAUGAGCUUGCUCCAUCCAUCCUAUGCAACAACCUGGAAUUGCAGUACUACCAAGAACAGUGCACCUCCC